rnacentral:misc_RNA from 1 species
AAGUCGUAACAAGGUUUCCGUAGGUGAACCUGCGGAAGGAUCAUUAACACAAUUUUACUGUGAUAAAAUCCGUUGAAUUCUCGAAUUCAAUGGUAUCCACCCCAUUAUUGACGAACUUUUCUAGAUGUUACAACAUAGAGCUAGUCUUUAUGUUUUUAACAUUCUAAACCUUUUUCUAUACCCACACAAAUUUAAACCCCUUUUACAACAUGUAUUAGACUGAAAUGAAAAUUUUCUAUCAAAAAAUUGAUAAAAACAACUUUUAACAACGGAUAUCUUGGCUCUC